rnacentral:rRNA from 1 species
AGUAAAUAGAUACCCCGGUAGUCCACGCCGUAAACGAUGAGUACUAGGUGUAGGAGGUAUCGACUCCUUCUGUGCCGCAGUUAAACACAAUAAGUACUCCGCCUGGGAAGUACGGUCGCAAGAUUAAAACUCAAAGGAAUUGACGGGGGCCCGCACAAGCAGCGGAGCAUGUGGUUUAAAUUCGAAGCAACGCGAAGAACCUUACCUAGAUUUGACAUCUCCUGAAUAGUGUAGAGAUACAUGAAGCCCUUCGGGCGAGGAAGACAGGUGGUGCAUGGUUGUCGUCAGCUCGUGUCGUGAGAUGUUGGGUUAAGUCCCGCAACGAGCGCAACCCUUAUUACUAGUUGCUACCAUUAAGUUGAGCACUCUAGUGAGACUG